GACGAACGCUGGCGGCGUGCUUAACACAUGCAAGUCGAACGGAAAGGCCCUGCUUUUGUGGGGUGCUCGAGUGGCGAACGGGUGAGUAACACGUGAGUAACCUGCCCUUGACUUUGGGAUAACUUCAGGAAACUGGGGCUAAUACCGGAUAGGAGCUCCUGCUGCAUGGUGGGGGUUGGAAAGUUUCGGCGGUUGGGGAUGGACUCGCGGCUUAUCAGCUUGUUGGUGGGGUAGUGGCUUACCAAGGCUUUGACGGGUAGCCGGCCUGAGAGGGUGACCGGCCACAUUGGGACGGGGAUACGGCCCAGACUCCUACGGGAGGCAGCGGUGGGGAAUAUUGCACAAGGGGCGGAAGCCGGAUGCAGCAACGCCGCGUGGGGGAUGACGGCCUUCGGGUUGUAAACCGCUUUCGCCUGUGACGAAGCGUGGGUGACGGUAAUGGGUAAAGAAGCACCGGCUAACUACGU
rnacentral:rRNA from 1 species